GCAAAGUUCACGAACAAUAUUGAAUUUGCACAGUUUUGGAAAGGAAAGAAAUUUUCCUUUCAAGUUCCAGUAUCUCUCAACAGAGUUGAGGGGCCUUCUCAAUAUGGCUGCUACUGCAGACAGUACUUGGGGGGAAAGUAGGGCAAGAAAGUGAGAGAGAGAGAGAGAGAGCCACAGAGAGAGAGAGAGAGUGAGAGAAAGGGAGACAGAGUGGGAGAAGGAGAGGGAGAGAGGGAGGAGAAAGGGAAUAUAUGUGUGUCUGUCCGUAAAGUUCAUCUCUUUCAUUCUCCUCUCCUAGUUCAGUUCGCGGGAAGCAGCUCAUACUGAUUCUUUCGUUUAACAACUUGUCUGCUUUGAUGAACACAGAUCAACGUCAGCUUUUUGUGACCCUUAGGGAAAUCACCUAUACCUAGAGUCUGGCUGUGCAGCUGAUAGCUGGCUUAACAAGAUAGCCCCCCAUCCUCUCCACAAGGACCUCUCUGCAAUCUCAUGCAGCGUGUUUGACGUUCCGAAACAAUCACAAAGUUUUCUCAUCUCUAAUGACUCUCCAGGACUGUGAGAACUCAGGAAAAUAAACAGGAACUGUUAAAGAUGUACCUGGAGCUUCUCAGGGGCUGCUUCACUGGCUCCGUCCAGCUCUCAAGUGCGCUGGAAUUCUUCCUUUUAAGGACAGUGACAUCCGAUCUGUGAAGGCCAUGGUGCCCUGCACAGGGAAGCCACAGCAGGGAGGACGAGGUCAAUAUUGC
rnacentral:lncRNA from 1 species